CCCCGUGAACCUUUACUACAGCUUGGCACUGAACAUUGAACCUACAUGUGUAGGAUAGGUGGGAGACUUUGAAGCAGCGACGCUAGUUGUUGUGGAGUCGUCCUUGAAAUACCACCCUUGUAGUUUUGAUGUUCUAACGUUGGCCCCUGAAUCGGGGUUACGGACAGUGCCUGGUGGGUAGUUUGACUGGGGCGGUCUCCUCCCAAAGAGUAACGGAGGAGCACGAAGGUUGGCUAAGUACGGUCGGACAUCGUACGGUUAGUGUAAUGGUAGAAGCCAGCUUAACUGCGAGACAGACACGUCGAGCAGGUACGAAAGUAGGUCAUAGUGAUCCGGUGGUUCUGAAUGGAAGGGCCAUCGCUCAACGGAUAAAAGGUACUCCGGGGAUAACAGGCUGAUACCGCCCAAGAGUUCAUAUCGACGGCGGUGUUUGGCACCUCGAUGUCGGCUCAUCACAUCCUGGGGCUGAAGUCGGUCCCAAGGGUAUGGCUGUUCGCCAUUUAAAGUGGUACGCGAGCUGGGUUUAGAACGUCGUGAGACAGUUCGGUCCCUAUCUGCCGUGGGCGUUUGAGAAUUGAGAGGGGUUGCUCCUAGUACGAGAGGACCGGAGUGAACGAACCGCUGGUGUUCGGGUUGUCAUGCCAAUGGCAUUGCCCGGUAGCUACGUUCGGAACUGAUAAGCGCUGAAAGCAUCUAAGCGCGAAGCAGGCCUCGAGAUGAUUUCUCACUAGACUUUUAAAGUCUCUGAAGGGCCGUUGAAGACUACAACGUUGAUAGGCAAGAUGUGGAAGUGGUGUGAGCCAUUAAGCUAACUUGUACUAAUUACCCGUGAGGCUUAACCAUACAACGCCAAACGCGUUUUG
rnacentral:rRNA from 1 species